rnacentral:rRNA from 1 species
AUUGAACGCUGGCGGCAUGCCUUACACAUGCAAGUCGAACGGCAGCACGGGUGCUUGCACCUGGUGGCGAGUGGCGAACGGGUGAGUAAUACAUCGGAACGUACCUUAUCGUGGGGGAUAACGCAGCGAAAGCUGUGCUAAUACCGCAUACGCCCUGAGGGGGAAAGCGGGGGAUCGCAAGACCUCGCCGGAUUAGAGCGGCCGAUGCCUGAUUAGCUAGUUGGUGGGGUAAAAGCCCACCAAGGCGACGAUCAGUAGCUGGUCUGAGAGGACGAUCAGCCACACUGGGACUGAGACACGGCCCAGACUCCUACGGGAGGCAGCAGUGGGGAAUUUUGGACAAUGGGGGCAACCCUGAUCCAGCAAUGCCGCGUGAGUGAAGAAGGCCUUCGGGUUGUAAAGCUCUUUUGUCAGGGAAGAAACACCGGCUCUAACACAGUCCGGGAAUGACGGUACCUGAAGAAUAAGCACCGGCUAACUACGUGCCAGCCGCCGCAGUAAGAC